UACGGGGGGGGCAAGCGUUGUUCGGAAUUACUGGGCGUAAAGGGCUCGUAGGCGGCCAACUAAGUCGGACGUGAAAUCCCCAGGCUCAACUUGGGAACUGCGUCCGAUACUGGAUGGCUUGAAUUCGGGAGAGGGAUGCAGAAUUCCAGGCGUAGCGGUGAAAUGCGUAGAUAUCUGGAGGAAUACCGGUGGCGAAGGCGGCAUCCUGGACCGACAUUGACGCUGAUGAGCGAAAGCCAGGGGAGCAAACGGG
rnacentral:rRNA from 1 species